rnacentral:rRNA from 1 species
UUAAGUUAAUAAGGGCGCACGGUGGAUGCCUUGGCACUAGGAGCCGAAGAAGGACGGGACUAACGCCGAUAUGCUUUGGGGAGCUGUAAGUAAGCUGUGAUCCAGAGAUUUCCGAAUGGGGAAACCCAACACCCUUUAUCGGGUGUUACUGUUGACUGAAUACAUAGGUCAACAGAGGUAGACGCAGAGAACUGAAACAUCUAAGUACCUGCAGGAAGAGAAAGAAAAUUCGAUUCCCUGAGUAGCGGCGAGCGAAACGGGAAAAGCCCAAACCAGAAAGCUUGCUUUCUGGGGUUGUAGGACUGAACACAUAGAGUCAUAAAUGAAUGAAGUAAGAGAAGCGACCUGGAAAGGUCUGCCAAAGAGGGUAAAAGCCCCGUAUCUGAAACUUCGUUCACUCUGAUCAGUAUCCUGAGUACGGCGGAACACGAGAAAUUCCGUCGGAAUCCGGGAGGACCAUCUCCCAAGGCUAAAUACUCCCUAGUGACCGAUAGUGAACCAGUACCGUGAGGGAAAGGUGAAAAGAACCCCGGAAGGGGAGUGAAACAGCACCUGAAACCGUGUGCUUACAAGUAGUUAGAGCCCGUUAAUGGGUGAUAGCGUGCCUUUUGUAGAAUGAACCGGCGAGUUACGAUCCCAUGCGAGGUUAAGUUGAUGAGACGGAGCCGCAGCGAAAGCGAGUCUGAAUAGGGCGAAUGAGUAUGUGGUCGUAGACCCGAAACCAAGUGAUCUACCCAUGUCCAGGUUGAAGGUGCGGUAAUACGCACUGGAGGACCGAACCCACGUAUGUUGAAAAAUGCGGGGAUGAGGUGUGGGUAGCGGAGAAAUUCCAAUCGAACUUGGAGAUAGCUGGUUCUCUCCGAAAUAGCUUUAGGGCUAGCCUCGGAAUUAGAAUCAUGGAGGUAGAGCAACUGUUUGGACUAGGGGCCCUUCUCGGGUUACCGAAUUCAGAUAAACUCCGAAUGCCAUUGAUUUAUAUCCGGGAGUCAGACUACGAGUGAUAAGAUCCGUAGUCGAGAGGGAAACAGCCCAGACCACCAGCUAAGGUCCCAAAGUUUCUGUUAAGUGGAAAAGGAUGUGGGGUUGCUUAGACAACUAGGAUGUUGGCUCAGAAGCAGCCAUCAUUUAAAGAGUGCGUAAUAGCUCACUAGUCGAGUGACCCUGCGCCGAAAAUUUACCGGGGCUAAACAGAACACCGAAGCUGUGGAUAGAACCUUUUGGUUCUAUGGUAGGAGAGCGUUCUAAGGGCGUCGAAGCUGGACCGUGAGGACUGGUGGAGCGCUUAGAAGUGAGAAUGCCGGUAUGAGUAGCGAAAGACGGGUGAGAAUCCCGUCCACCGAAUGACUAAGGUUUCCUGGGGAAGGCUCGUCCUCCCAGGGUUAGUCGGGACCUAAGUCGAGGCCGAUAGGCGUAGACGAUGGACAACAGGUUGAGAUUCCUGUACCAGUUCGUUUUGUUUGAACGAUGGAGGGACACAGUAGGCUAAGGAAUACGUGCUGUUGGAUAUGCACGUCCAAGCAAUAAGUCUGGGAAUGAGUCAAAUGCUUAUUCCCUUAAGGACAAGUUGUGAUGGGGAGGGAAAUCAAGUACCGAAGUUCCUGAUGUCACACUGUCAAGAAAAGCUUCUAGUGAGAAACGAUCUGCCCGUACCGCAAACCGACACAGGUAGUCGAGGAGAGAAUCCUAAGGUGUGCGAGAGAACUCUCGUUAAGGAACUCGGCAAAAUGACCCCGUAACUUCGGGAGAAGGGGUGCUGACCAUUUGGUCAGCCGCAGUGAAUAGGCCCAAGCAACUGUUUAUCAAAAACACAGGUCUCUGCUAAAUCGAAAGAUGACGUAUAGGGGCUGACGCCUGCCCGGUGCUGGAAGGUUAAGAGGAUGGGUUAGCCGUAAGGCGAAGCUCAGAAUUGAAGCCCCAGUAAACGGCGGCCGUAACUAUAACGGUCCUAAGGUAGCGAAAUUCCUUGUCGGGUAAGUUCCGACCCGCACGAAAGGCGUAAUGAUUUGGGCACUGUCUCAACGAGAGACUCGGUGAAAUUAUAGUACCUGUGAAGAUGCAGGUUACCCGCGACAGGACGGAAAGACCCCAUGGAGCUUUACUGCAGUUUGAUAUUGAGUGUUUGUACAGCUUGUACAGGAUAGGUAGGAGCCAAUGAAGCCAGGACGCUAGUCUUGGUGGAGGCAAUGGUGGGAUACUACCCUUGCUGUAUGACCACUCUAACCCUCAGCCAUGAUCUGGCUGGGAGACAGUGUCUGACGGGCAGUUUGACUGGGGCGGUCGCCUCCUAAAGUGUAACGGAGGCGCCCAAAGGUUCCCUCAGAAUGGUUGGAAAUCAUUCGUAGAGUGUAAAGGCAGAAGGGAGCUUGACUGCGAGACCUACAAGUCGAGCAGGGACGAAAGUCGGGCUUAGUGAUCCGGUGGUUCCGCAUGGAAGGGCCAUCGCUCAACGGAUAAAAGCUACCCUGGGGAUAACAGGCUUAUCUCCCCCAAGAGUCCACAUCGACGGGGAGGUUUGGCACCUCGAUGUCGGCUCAUCGCAUCCUGGGGCUGUAGUCGGUCCCAAGGGUUGGGCUGUUCGCCCAUUAAAGCGGUACGCGAGCUGGGUUCAGAACGUCGUGAGACAGUUCGGUCCCUAUCCGUCGCGGGCGCAGGAAAUUUGAGAGGAGCUGUCCUUAGUACGAGAGGACCGGGAUGGACACACCGCUGGUGUACCAGUUGUUCUGCCAAGGGCAUUGCUGGGUAGCUAUGUGUGGACGGGAUAAACGCUGAAAGCAUCUAAGCGUGAAGCCCCCCUCAAGAUGAGAUUUCCCAUCACGUAAGUGAGUAAGACCCCUGAGAGAUGAUCAGGUAGAUAGGUUGGAAGUGGAAGUACAGCGAUGUAUGGAGCGGACCAAUACUAAUCGGUCGAGGACUUAACCAA